rnacentral:rRNA from 1 species
GACGAACGCUGGCGGCGCGCUUAACACAUGCAAGUCGAGCGAUGAAAUCUUGACAGAUCCCUUCGGGGUGAAGAUAAGAUGGAUUAGCGGCGGACGGGUGAGUAACACGUGAGUAACCUGCCUUAGACAUUGGGAUAGCCUCGGGAAACCGGGAUUAAUACCAAAUGAAAUCAUAGGUGCCCAUGCACUAAUGAUCAAAACUCCGGUGGUCUAAGAUGGACUCGCGUCCCAUUAGUUAGUUGGUGAGGUAACGGCCCACCAAGGCGACGAUGGGUAGCCGGCCUGAGAGGGUGAACGGCCACAUUGGAACUGAGAAACGGUCCAAACUCCUACGGGAGGCAGCAGUGGGGAAUAUUGCACAAUGGAGGGAACUCUGAUGCAGCGACGCCGCGUGAACGAUGAAGGCUUUCGAGUCGUAAAGUUCUUUUAUAUGGGAAGAUAAUGACGGUACCAUAAGAAAAAGCCCCGGCUAACUACGUGCCAGCCGCCGCCGUAACAC